GACGAACGCUGGCGGCGUGCUUAACACAUGCAAGUCGAACGUGAUCCGUGCCGUGAAGUCUUCGGAUGGAAUGGUAUGGUGAAAGUGGCGGACGGGCGAGUAACGCGUGAGCAACCUGCCCUAUGCAGGGGGAUAACACCGGGAAACCGGUGCUAAUACCGCAUAAGACCACACCAACGCAUGUUGGAGUGGUAAAAGCUGAGGCGGCAUAGGAUGGGCUCGCGUCCAAUUAGCUAGUUGGUAGGGUAACGGCCUACCAAGGCGACGAUUGGUAGCCGAACUGAGAGGUUGGUCGGCCGCAUUGGGACUGAGACACGGCCCAGACUCCUACGGGAGGCAGCAGUGGGGAAUAUUGCGCAAUGGGGGAAACCCUGACGCAGCGACGCCGCGUGAAGGAAGAAGGCCUUCGGGUUGUAAACUUCUUUGAUCGGGGACGAAGAUGACGGUACCCGAGGAACAAGCCACGGCUAACUACGUG
rnacentral:rRNA from 2 species